CGCAUCCUUCGGGGCAGGGUGAAAUUCCCGACCGGCGGUAAUGAAACAGUUGUUUCUCAGCCCGCGAGCCGUUAAGGCACGAUCCGGUGCGAUUCCGGAGCCGACAGUAUAGUCUGGAUGGGAGAAGGAUUGC
rnacentral:ncRNA from 2 species